rnacentral:sRNA from 1 species
GCCGGGUGUGGUGGUGCAUGCCUGUAAUCCCAGCAGCUCAGGAGGCUGAGGCAGGAGGAUCUCAAGUUCAAAGCCAGCCUCAGCAACAGUGAGGUGCUAAGCAAUUCAGUGAGACCCUGUCUCUA